AGUUGUGUGGCUCAGUGGUAGAGCGCUCGCCUAGCAUGUGUGAGGCCCUGGGUUCUAUCCUCAGCACCACAU
rnacentral:tRNA from 1 species